rnacentral:rRNA from 1 species
GAUGAACGCUGACAGAAUGCUUAACACAUGCAAGUCUUUGGCGAAUCUGUGCUUGCACAGGCUAGCCAAGGCGGACGGGUGAGUAACGCGUAAAGAACUUGCCCUGCAGACAGGGAUAACAGACGGAAACGACUGAUAACACCUGAUACAGUUGCCGGCACGCAUGUGCCUGGCAAUGAAAAGAGAUGCUGCAGGAGAGCUUUGCGUCCUAUUAGCUUGUUGGUGAGGUGACGGCUCACCAAGGCGAUGAUAGGUAGCCGGCCUGAGAGGGUGAACGGCCACAAGGGGACUGAGAUACGGCCCUUACUCCUACGGGAGGCAGCAGUGGAGAAUAUUGGACAAUGGGGGCAACCCUGAUCCAGCAAUUCUGUGUGCACGAAGAAGGUUUUCGGAUUGUAAAGUGCUUUCAGCAGGGAAGAAGAAAGUGACGGUACCUGCAGAAGAAGCGACGGCUAAAUACGUG